rnacentral:rRNA from 1 species
AUUGAACGCUGGCGGCAGGCCUAACACAUGCAAGUCGAGCGGAGCGGAGGACGGGUAAGUAAUACCUAGGAAUUUGCCUGGUAGUGGGGGAUAACGGUCGGAAAAGGACGCUAAUACCGCAUAAUAUCAGAAGAGCCUAGGUCGGAUUAGCUAGUUGGUGAGGAAAUGGCUGACCAAGGCUACGAUCCUUAACUGUGCUGAGAGGAUGAUCGGUCACACUGGGACUGAGACACGGUCCAGAUUCCUACGGGAGGCAGCAGUGGGGAAUAUUGGACAAUGGGCGAAAGCCUGAUCCAGCCAUGCCGCGUGUGUGAAGAAGGUCUUCGGAUUGUAAAGCACUUUAAGUUGGGAGGCGUUACCGACAGAAUAAGCACCGGCUAACUCUGUGCCAGCAGCCGCGGUAAUAC